ACGGCUACCUUGUUACGACUUAGCCCCAGUCAUCGGUUUUGCCCUAGGGCGCUGCUCGCGCUCACGCACUUCAGGCACUCCCGACUCCCAUGGCUUGACGGGCGGUGUGUACAAGGCCCGGGAACGUAUUCACCGCGCCGUGGCUGAUGCGCGAUUACUAGCGAAUCCAGCUUCAUGGAGUCGGGUUGCAGACUCCAAUCCGAACUGAGACAGGCUUUCGGGUUCCGCUCCCUGUCGCCAGGUGGCUUCCCGCUGUACCUGCCAUUGUAACACGUGUGUCGCCCCGGACGUAAGGGCCGUGCUGAUUUGACGUCAUCCCCGCCUUCCUCGCAGCUUGCGCCGGCAGUCCCGCCAGAGUCCCCAGCUUUGCCUGUUGGCAACUGGCGGUAGGGGUUGCGCUCGUUAUGGCACUUAAGCCGACACCUCACGGCACGAGCUGACGACAACCAUGCAGCACCUCGUCGCAGGUCCGUAGACGGGCAUCCUUUCAGACACCCUUCCUGCAACGUUUGAGCC
rnacentral:rRNA from 1 species